rnacentral:rRNA from 1 species
GUCGAACAGACCUAGAACUUUAAGCUUCUGCACUUAAAUCUAAUUUUAAUCCAACAUCGAGGUCGCAAACUUUUCCAUCGAUAAGAACUCUCCAGAAAAAUUACGCUGUUAUCCCUAAGGUAAUUUAAUCUAAAUAUCCAUAAAACAGGAUCCUAAAAAUAAAAAUAAUUAAAUAUUAAAUUAUGAGAGUUUUUUUAAUCUCAAUAUCACCCCAAUAAAAUUACAACCCAAAUAAAUAAUAAAAAUAACCAUAAAUUAAAUAUAAAACUUAUAAUAAAAUUCUAUAGGGUCUUCUCGUCCCACUUAAAAAUUUAAGCUUUUUAACUUAAAAAUUAAAUUCAACUUUUUAAUAUAAAGAAAGUAAUUCCCUCAUCCAACCUUUCAUACAAGCCUUUAAUUAAAAGACAAAUGAUUAUGCUACCUUCGCACAGUCAAGAUACUG